AAUUUAAGCAUAUAACUAAGCGGAGGAAAAGAAACUAACAAGGAUUCCCUCAGUAACGGCGAGUGAAGCGGGACGAGCUCAGACUGAAAAUCUUCGGAAUUGUAGUCUGGAGAAGUCAAGUCAUCUCUAUCUCCCGGGCAAAGCCUGUAGGAAAACGGCACCAUGGAGGGUGAUAGUCCCGUCUAUGCCUGGGCAGAUGAGUGUACGACUGGCUUUCAACGAGUCGAGUUGCUUGGGAUUGCAGCUCUAAGUGGGUGGUAAAUUCCAUCUAAAGCUAAAUAUUGGUGGGAGACCGAUAGCGAACAAGUACCGUGAGGGAAAGAUGAAAAGAACUUUGAAAAGAGAGUUAAAGAGUACCUGAAAUUGCUGAAAUGGAACCGAUGGGAGGCAGUGUUGGCGUGCGGCCAUUCUGUGUUGUCCGCUAGCGGGUAGCGCGUGAUGCCGUGUGCAAGUCAGGCUUUUUUCGACGAGUGGGAGAGGUCCCAAACCUGUAUGGGUUGGGUGUGCCGUCACUUGUUGGAGGGACUCUGACGAAAUGCCUCUUAUCAACCCGUCUUGUAACACGGACCAAGGAGUCUAACAUAUGUGCGAGUUCACGGGCGGGUAAACCUGCUUGCGCAAUGAAAGUGACUGCUGGGAUCUUUGCACCAGCAACCGACCAAUCAAUUGAGAGAGGUUUGAGUAUGAGCAUAUCUGUUAGGACCCGAAAGAUGGUGAACUAUGCCUGAGUAGGGCGAAGCCAGGGGAAACUCUGGUGGAGGUCCGCAGCGAUUCUAACGUGCAAAUUG
rnacentral:rRNA from 1 species